UACGGGGGAUGCAAGCGUUAUCCGGAAUCAUUGGGCGUAAAGCGCCUGUAGGUUGUUUAAUAAGUCUGUUGUUAAAGACUAGGGCUUAACCCUAGAAAAGCAAUGGAAACUACUAGACUAGAGUAUGGCAGGGGUAGAGGGAAUUUCUAGUGUAGCGGUGAAAUGCGUAGAUAUUAGAAAGAACACCGGUGGCGAAAGCGCUCUACUGGACCAUUACUGACACUCAGAGGCGAAAGCUAGGGUAGCAAAAGGGAUUAGAUACCCCUGUAGUCCUAGCCGUAAACGAUGAACACUAGGUGUCGGGGGAUCGCCCCGGUGUCGUAGCUAACGCGUUAAGUGUUCCGCCUGGGGAGUACGCACGCAAGUGUG
rnacentral:rRNA from 1 species